rnacentral:rRNA from 1 species
AUGGAAACUAAUCCUUUGAGGGGCUUGUUCGGGGUAUCUUCACCUCAACCAGUAGAGCAAAGAGUUGCUCCUCAACCUACUGAACCUAUUGAAAAUGUUUACUUUGAGUUUCCUUCGGGUAUGAUAGAGAAACUGCUAGCUAAUCCUUUUGUAGGAUAUGGAACAUUGCAUCCCGAUUUACACCUUAUCUUUGUGGAUGAAGUUUGUGGAUUAUUUAAGCUUUCAAGUAUUCCCGAUGAUGUUCUUAAGAGGAAGGUCUUCCCUUUAUCUUUGAAGGGAGACGCAUUGACAUGGUAUAGGCUAUGUGAUGAUACAUGA